UUUUAAUUGAAGGCUUGUAUGAAGGGUUGGACAAAAAAUAAGCUGUCUUUAUUUUUGUUUUUGAAUUUGUCUUUUAAGUGAAAAGACUUAAAUUAUUUUAAGGGACGAUAAGACCCUAUAAAUCUUUAUAUUAGUAUAUUUUUAUUUUAAUUUUUAAUGUAAGGUAAGAUAAAAGUAUGAAAUAUUGUAUUGGGGUGAUAAAAAUAAUUAAUAAACUGUUUUAAAUAAAAACAAAGUUAUUUGAAAAAUGAUAGAUCCUUUUUAGAGAUUAGGAGUUUAAGUUACUUUAGGGAUAACAGCGUUAUUUUUUUUGAGAGUUCUAAUCGAAAAAAAAGUUUGCGACCUCGAUGUUGAAUUAAAAUUUCUUUAUGGUGUAGCUGCUAUAAAAGAGAGUCUGUUCGACUUUUAAAAUUUUACGUGAUCU
rnacentral:rRNA from 2 species